UGAGGAAUAUUGGUCAAUGGACGAGAGUCUGAACCAGCCAAGUAGCGUGAAGGAUGACUGCCCUAUGGGUUGUAAACUUCUUUUAUACGGGAAUAAAGUGGAGUAUGCAUACUCCUUUGUAUGUACCGUAUGAAUAAGGAUCGGCUAACUCCGUGCCAGCAGCCGCGGUAAUACGGAGGAUCCGAGCGUUAUCCGGAUUUAUUGGGUUUAAAGGGAGCGUAGGCGGGUGCUUAAGUCAGUUGUGAAAGUUUGCGGCUCAACCGUAAAAUUGCAGUUGAUACUGGGCGCCUUGAGUACGCACGAGGUAGGCGGAAUUCGUGGUGUAGCGGUGAAAUGCUUAGAUAUCACGAAGAACUCCGAUUGCGAAGGCAGCUUACCGGAGCGCAACUGACGCUGAGGCUCGAAAGCGCGGGUAUCGAACAGGAUUAGAUACCCUGGUAGUCCGCGCGGUAAACGAUGGAUGCCCGCCGUUGGGAUUUAGAUUUCAGCGGCCAAGCGAAAGCGUUAAGCAUCCCACCUGGGGAGUACGCCGGCAACGGUGAAACUCAAAGGAAUUGACGGGGGCCCGCACAAGCGGAGGAACAUGUGGUUUAAUUCGAUGAUACGCGAGGAACCUUACCCGGGCUUAAAUUGCAGACGAAUUACUUGGAAACAGGUAAGCCGCAAGGCGUCUGUGAAGGUGCUGCAUGGUUGUCGUCAGCUCGUGCCGUGAGGUGUCGGCUUAAGUGCCAUAACGAGCGCAACCCUUGUUGUCAGUUACUAACAGGUUCCGCUGAGGACUCUGACAAGACUGCCAUCGUAAGAUGUGAGGAAGGUGGGGAUGACGUCAAAUCAGCACGGCCCUUACGUCCGGGGCUACACACGUGUUACAAUGGGGGGUACAGAGGGCCGCUACCACGCGAGUGGAUGCCAAUCCCCAAAACCUCUCUCAGUUCGGACUGGAGUCUGCAACCCGACUCCACGAAGCUGGAUUCGCUAGUAAUCGCGCAUCAGCCACGGCGCGGUGAAUACGUUCCC
rnacentral:rRNA from 1 species